rnacentral:sRNA from 1 species
GUUGCUUCUGCGGAAAGGUGGUAGUUAAGAAUUUGUAAAGGCCAGGGAACUAGCUACGAUUCUCUCAGCGGUCUCUCUUCUCCUGAAGUUUGAAAUGCUUUAUCUCAUCGGCUUGGGCCUGGGAGAUGCCAAGGACAUCACAGUCAAGGGCCUGGAAGUUGUUAGACGCUGCAGUCGAGUGUAUCUGGAAGCCUACACCUCAGUCCUGACUGUAGGGAAGGAAGCCUUGGAAGAGUUUUAUGGAAGAAAAUUGGUUGUUGCUGAUAGAGAAGAAGUGGAACAAGAAGCAGAUAAUAUUUUAAAGGAUGCUGAUAUCAGUGAUGUUGCAUUCCUUGUGGUUGGUGAUCCAUUUGGGGCUACAACACACAGUGAUCUUGUUCUAAGAGCAACAAAGCUGGGAAUUCCUUAUAGAGUUAUUCACAAUGCCUCCAUAAUGAAUGCUGUAGGCUGCUGUGGUUUACAGGUAAUGCAACAAAGGAGGUUUUUCAGUGGAAUUAAACAAAAAUGUUUUAUUUUUCCACAAA